GAAGAUCUAAACGAGGGUAGAGUUAUCCUCAAGCAUCAAAACAUUUCAGAUCUCUGGCAGCAACUCAAAGCAGUUUCACCUGAAACUAUUAACAUAGUUCCUGGUUUGUUGUCAGCAUCUCUUUUAAGUUUAAAGGAGACUUGCAAAUGUGGCACUUGCUUGCUUUUACUCUUCUUUUCUAAAUGCCAUUAUUCCUUCCCCCAUGCCAUUCUUUUAACGAUGAGCAAAGCUCUGCCUCUUUUUUUCUGCAAAAGAACUUGGCAGAUGUAUAUGCACUUGAAAAAAAUGUAGCCACAUUCUAUGGCAGUAAGUAGCUUGUUUCUGAAGAAUAGUAGACAGGCCCACUUGUGCUUGUCCUUAACUCAUUUCACAAGGAAAUGUGGGUCCAUCUUCAGGGAAAGAAAAAUGCUGCCAAUUUAUGCCUUAAAUAAAUAUAAAUUUACACUGGGCACGUAUGUCUAUGUGAGGAUAGUAGACCCAUGAUCUUAAACAAUGGCUCAGCUCUAAAUAUAGAUAAAAGAGUGAGUGGAGAUUCAAUUUGAAAUAUUUCCAAGGUGCUGAUUUGCUGGACCAUAUUUUCAUCCCCAACAGUCAUCCGUCCCACCCUAACUUUUUUCUCUUUUGGAUUGUUUUAUUAUAACUGAACUAUUUGCAAGUAAAGCAACUGAACUGUGAAUUACGAUUUUUUUUUUAAACUUAAAAUCAUAUAGACACAUCCAGUGGUAAAAUCCUCUGAAGUCUGCUACCGGUUCGGUGAGUCUGCUACCAAGUGCAUGCUUUGCACCCCUGAGGUGAGCCCACGUAGCGUUAAAAAAGGAACAUUUUGAAGCCUUCUGAGUCUGCAAAGGUUGUAUCUCAGAGCCCGAGAUCCCACCAGCUCAUCGCCAGUGUUAGGUUCUCUAGAAGAACGAGGCUGGAGGCAUCUGAGGGAUGACUCCAUCAAAAAUAAAGCUUCCUUCAUCAAGCACAAAAGAAAGUUGUAUCCCUCUAGAUUCCAGCUCAGCCACAAUUUU